AGUCACUGACAUUAGACUACCCGGUAGUCCAGGGUGUAAACGCUGCAGACUUGGUGUUGGAAGUCCUUUGGGGGCAUUCAGUGCCGGAGAGAAGUUGUUAAGUCUGCUACUUGGGGAGUACGUCCGCAAGGAUGAAAACUUAAAGGAAUUGGCGGGGGAGCACCGCAACGGGAGGAGCGUGCGGUUUAAUUGGAUUCAACACCGUAAAACUCACCAGGGAAGACUGUUACAUGAAGGCCGAGAUGAAGACUCUGCUAGAUUUUCAG
rnacentral:rRNA from 1 species